AAACCAACAGGGAUUGCCUCAGUAGCGGCGAGUGAAGCGGCAAAAGCUCAAAUUUGAAAUCUGGUAGUUCUGCUACCCGAGUUGUAAUUUGUAGAAAACUGUCUUUGUUAGGGUGCCUGUCUAAGUUCCUUGGAACAGGACGUCGCAGAGGGUGAGAAUCCCGUGUGAUGGGUGGCCCGAGCUUUUAAGGCGUUUUCGAAGAGUCGAGUUGUUUGGGAAUGCAGCUCUAAGUGGGUGGUAAAUUCCAUCUAAAGCUAAAUAUUGGCGAGAGACCGAUAGCGAACAAGUACAGUGAUGGAAAGAUGAAAAGAACUUUGAAAAGAGAGUGAAACAGUACGUGAAAUUGUUGAAAGGGAAGGGUAUUUGAUCCGACAUGGGAUUUACUCAUCAUUGCUCCUUGUGGGUGGUGCUCUGGGUUUUUUCUGGGCCAGAAUCAGUUUGUGUGGCAGGAUAAAGGCGUGAGGAAGUAGCUCUUCUGGAGCAAUAUAACUCAUGUUAAUACUGCCUAUGCGGACUGAGGAAUGCGGUUACCAAGAUC
rnacentral:rRNA from 1 species